GUAGCCUCUAUCCUUAAGGACCUCGGGAGCAACAUAGUUUGGAGUUCCACAAGUAGUGUGAAGCAGGCCAUCAUCCUUAACUUGUUGUGACAGUGCACUCAAUCCAAAAUCAGACACUUUAAGGUUCCCGUAGGCAUCUAACAAUAGAUUUUCUGGCUUAAGAUCCCUGUGGUAAACACCCCUGCUAUGACAAUAAUCAACA
rnacentral:misc_RNA from 1 species